rnacentral:tRNA from 1 species
GCCCGGAUGGUGAAAUAGGUAGACACAAGAGACUUAAAAUCUCUCGCUGAAAAGCAUACCAGUUCGAUUCUGGUUCCGGGCA